UCAUUGCUAAAGAGUCCCAUACUAGGACGAAACGGCCGUCCAAUGC
rnacentral:hammerhead_ribozyme from 1 species